GAGCCUGAACUGGUGAGGCCGGAGAUGCUGGAGAGGCAUAAUAACAUGCCCAGGCAUGUAUUGAGGUCACCUACCAGACCAGCGGUGCCUGCUACAUCCUGUAUGGACCUGGGUGCCGUGUGUGACUAGGUUUGAGGGUGGUGGCUCUCAUUUGAUGGGAGUGUCGUUGCUCCAAGCGGCUCGAGGAGCUGCAACAAGCAUAUGGCUUGUCUGGCAGACAGUUAUUUCCAGCGUUACCAGAAAUGCUAGCAGGGAGAUUCUCCUUAUGGAUGAGGAAUAGGAGAGAACAGUGGAGACACUGGGACGAUUUCCUGAGAGACUUUCGGUCUCGUUACUAUCCACCUAUACUUAUGAGGAGGAACUUGAGAAUGAAAUUCUCGACAGGCGGCAGAGAGAAGGCAAGCUCAUCAAUGACUAUGUUGAGGAGCUGCUAACACUGAUGAGAAAAAGAGAUUGGUUUUUCAGAAAGGAGCCAGGUACAGAGAUUGUACAAAAAUCUUUUACUAUGCUACAAGCUCUACAUCAGGAAGGCUGAAGUGUACACCAUCGACUACUUGCUGCACUUAGUGAGACAAUAUGAACGAAUUACGUUUGAGAAGAAGAGUGCUCAACAGAGACAACGAGCUGUGAAGCAGGAGGAGGUGAGGAAGCAGACCAAGCCUCGACAGGAGACAACUACUACACAGCGCUGGAGUGAACAACUUCCAGAAGGCCCCUUGUGUUGGCAGUGCAAGAAGGUGGGACACUGGAGAUCAGAGUGUCCAGAGGUUUCACUCUGCUCAAAGUGCAGGAAGCCACAACCAAAUUGUUCCUGUGAGAGAGAGCAGAAGAAGACUUCUGAUAAAACAGCUGUGGUUAAAACAAGGCUUCAAAUCCAGCUAGAGCUGGAUCUCCAGGAUGACAGCUGUCUCUUCACUACAGUGGAAAAAGCAGACAAACAGUAUAGUGCUCUUCUCGACACCGGAGCAGAGUCUAGCUAUAUUAGCUCUAAAGCUUUUAAUAGUUUAGAAGCCGUGAAACGAGAGCCUGUGCACCGCAGUGCUGCUAUGGCCAAUGGAGCAGAUGCACGUCUAAUUGGCUGUGUCAUUAUCAACCUAAAUUUUGGCAGAAUAUCCCUAUCAACAACACUCACAAUAAUGGAAGGGCUUUCUUCAGAUAUUCUGCUUGUUAUGGAGUUCCUUCAUGAGCACCGGGUGAAAAUAGACCCCUAUUUCCGGUUAGUGGAAUGGGAUCCUCAUCUUGUCAAGGAGCACAUUGGAGGUUAUAUUUCCACUCCAAAAGUGGGGAAGGGAGCCGUUUAUUUGAGGCUGGCUACUAUUAAGACCCAGCCUGACAUGUGGAUGUCAAGGAAGCCACCUGAAAUUAUUCCAGUGAAGAAGAAGGAGAAGAAGAAAUUUUCUCAAGUCCAGAAGCAUAUGAGAACCGUGUGCAAAAGUGGAAAAGAGGAAUUCAUUUCUCAGAAAAUUUCUCCAGCCUGUGGAAAGUUCAUUUGCUGGCACUGUGAAAGAGCUGGGCACUGGAGGUUCAACUGUCCAGAAAAGCUGUACUGGAGGCUGAAGAAGGAGGAUAAUUUCCAGCAAGGAGCUGGAAAUCAUCAUCGAGCAGUGCAGUCAAGAAGACUGCCAGUGCUGGAAACUACACAGAAAGCAGUUUCAGAUAUUGGAGACGAGAAUUAUAAUGCCAACUGGUAUUAUAAUUGGAAAAGGAGGACUCUGAAGAUGAACUCUGGACAGCUAGUCUACAGGAAGGAGUGUCACCUGUCCUUGGGUGCUGAUCAGUUUGCCACAAAGUUGGCGCCGGAAUUUUCUGGGCCCUAUGAAGUAGAGAAAAUGAUGAGUGCUCCAGUAGUGCUGUUAAUGGGAGCUGCUGGUAAGAGACUGACUGUUCAUGUGAAAGAUAUCUAGAUCUUGCCGCCCCUUCCCAAGGACGAAGAGGUCGAGGAUGGAGGAGUCAGCAACGAUGUAGGAGUCGGUGAUGAUGGCGGAGACGGCAACAAUAGAGAAGCUGGUGCAGAGGAGGAUGGCGACAAUAGGAGGAAUCACAUAAACCGGGUGACUACCCACGCAGCUGAUUGUGUACUGAGGAAGGGGAAUCCAGCAUCAGCAAUAAGCAGCGGACCCCUCCAGAGGAUGCCAUGGUGGAGGCAGCCUCGCACAAGAUCUUUGACCUUUUUCCUGCUUUGAGGACUCGCUGGGAUCGGGAUGUAGUUGCUACAUCCAGCCUCCCCACACCCAAGACCCAAGCCAACACCGCUGGAGCCGAGGUGCCCUUACCCUCAACCUCCGCCACAGCAUCCUCCAAGAUGGACAUUUCCGAAGUCCUGACAGAGGAUGAGGAUGCCCUCCUAGAGGGUGGUGGAGGCGACUAUACCAUUUUGCCAGCCUACGGGACGCCCAAGGAGGUCACAGAGCCCCCAGUGCCAUCAUGCACCAAGAAGCAGCCGACUGGGUUCAGGAGAGGGGUCUCACAGAGGCUUGAGGAGCAGCUCCCACUGAGUCACGCUGCAUCCUCGUAGUUUUGGACGAAUCCCCCACUACCGGUGACCAACUGCCACUGCCAGAGGUGCUGGAGGUGAUGGUGGUUUCCUCUGAGGAGGAGGAAGAGGAAGCACCCCUGCCUCCACCCAUCCGGUUGACUGCUGCCAACCGCGGACGGGGCCUCACCCUGGUAACCAUCGGAAACUGGCCCACCAUGAAGGAGGUGAUGCACCAGUCCUUCUGAGUUGGCAGAAGUAGUAUAAAAAGGGGGAGUCUGGUGCACAAGUGCACCAGACUCCCCCUUUACCACAAGGUCAUCCAGGUCAACCACCCUAACCUCAAGGUCAUUCAGGUCAACCACCCUAACCUCAAGGUCAUCCAGGUCAACCACCCUAACCUCAAGGUCAUCCAGGUCAACCACCCUAACCUCAAGG
rnacentral:misc_RNA from 1 species